UAUGGCUCAAUGAGAAGUCAAUAGGAACUGAGUGUUACAGGAAUACAGAGAAUGGAGGGAUGGACUGAGAGAGAGUCAGAGAGAUUAUUCAGUUAAAUUGAGAGGCACCAGUGGGAGAUUACUCAUGGAAUCUGAGAGCUGAGACUUACAGACACAGGAAAUCAUGCUGAACAGCAUGCAAAACAGAGAAGUGAACUCCCAUGUACUUUGAGACAACAUUGGACUUUAAACUCCAGAACCAAACACUACAAUGGAUGUGGAAUAAAUGAGCAACAAAUAUUGAAUUAAUAAAUAAACAUCGCACUUUCUGAUGAGGCUGGAGGCUCUCACUUGAUAGCAGAGGAUAAAGAGAAGAAGAAAAGCAGGAACUACUUUCGGCUGGUAAGCAGAUCUUACAGUACAGUAGUUAAGCAUAUAAUGUUUGGAGCCUGACUGAUAUAGGCACAAAUCUCAAGUCCACAACUAUGUGAACGUUGACUUGUGAGAAGAUCCAAAUUUGCUUUGCCUUUGCCUUCCACCAUGACU
rnacentral:lncRNA from 1 species